UCAAGUCUGAGAUUUUCAAUGACAAACCAUGAAUCCACUCUCAUUUGCUACCAAAGAAUCUGGUGGUUGAGAACUCCGGCUUCGGCUGGAUACUCCAAUUGCUAGUGCCUGACUACACCAUCCCUUCAAGGACCAAGUUCAGCCGGAAUGUGGUCCACUCCCUGUACGAGCGGUGCAGGAAGCGCAUGUCAGCCAUGCUGUGUGCAGCACCAGCUGGCACCAAAGUGCAUUUCACCACUGAUCUGUGGAACAGUAUGAGUGGGAUGCAUGCUGCUUUCUUGGCCCUAACUGCCUACUGGUGGGGUUCAGAGAAAGAGGAGACCUCCAGUGUUGCCUCUGGCUCCAGCAUAUCCCAUACCACAUUUUGGCUCAGGUGGACUGUCUUGCACGUGGAGACCUUGGAUGUCAAGCACACCAAGGAGGAGGUGGCAGCCGUACUCAGCAGCUGAACUGAGGAGUGGAUAGGUGGGUUUCCACACCUCACCCGGGGCUUCAUUGUGACAGAUAAUGGCUCCAAUGUAACAGCAGCGGUAGAGUCUGUGUUGGAGUAUGUGAACAUCUUCUGCAUGGCACACACACUCCACCUGACUGUCAGGGAUGCCCUUGGCCUCAAGGAGAUGAAGGUGUCCAGGGAACAUAGCCGCCCCAUGGUAGGUGCUGUUGCUGCCAUGGCUGUGCUUGUGGAGAGGUUCCGCAAUAUUGCAGCCCACUUCCACCAGAGUGAGAAGUCCAGGUGCCUGCUUCACGAGCGGCAGUAUAUCCAUGGGCUUCUACAACAUCUCAUCCCCAUGGUGUCACACCCUCAGUCUCAGAUAGCGAGGAGGAAGGGGAAGUUGACAGCCUUCCAGCCGAUGCAGGGGUGCCUGAGGGGCAGAGCCCAGCUGUCAGUUCCCAAGAGACGGCUGAGGAGGGUCUGGCUGGUGUUUCAGAGCAGGCACAGCAGUCUGGGGCAACAGAGACAGCGACGGACAGACUAGAGGAUGAAUUGUGUGGGCAACCCCCACUGACUCCACAGCAACGCCGUGCCACAAGGCGAAGAACACAGCUGGAAACUUUCAGGAGCAGGGGCGUAGCAAGGUUGGAGUGGGCCCAGAGACAAGAUUUAAAAAUGGGCCCCUCGCUGAUAUACACACACAAAUACACUUCACAAUAUAUAGUGCACUCACAUCCCCAUUAUGUAAAUGGUGAAUACCUAGUUCACAUUGAAUCUAGUUCACAGGGGCAGAUCCAUCAGGAAAUUACAGGGGGUGCAACAAGAAUUCCCCCCAUAUAAAUAUUGGGGCUUGGAUUUUCUUUCUCUUGCAAAUGUACUAUGCCAGGGGGUGUCAAACUAAAAUUUGGUGGUGGGCCAGAUUAGAUUCUGAUGCACCUCUGGUGAGCCACACAUAGCCUUGCACCCACCUCACACCACUGAUCUUCCUCCUCUCUGCUCUUUCUCUCAUUCCCCCCCCCACUUAAAUUAGUUGAAGUCACUACUUUUUACACUAAAAUAUAGCCAGGGAAAGAUUGAUUUUUGGAGGGAGACCACCAGCCCAACAGCCAGCUUCCUUGGCUCGAAGAUGCCAGGUUAACCAAUAAGGCUGGGAGAAAAGUUGACCCUUUUUUUUACUGUCUGCUAUUGCUGAUCUCCAAGAGACUCAAUAUUAAUUCAUAGGGGGUGCAACACGGAUGGGCGGGGAGUCAUGUGAUAUGCCUCUGAGGGGCCCCUUGAGGCAGUGGGGCCUUGAGACAACUGUCUCCCCUUGCCUAAUGGUAGUUACGCCCCUGAUCAGGAGGAGUAAACGCCUCUUGCAGAGGGCUAAGCCUUGAAUCCCUGCCAGCUAAGAGUUAUCAGCUUGGACUAUAAAGCACGUCAACAGCUUUCUGUUAGCUGCCGGAAGACAACAUUUGUCAACCCUCGUGUCGACAGCUUUCAGCCCGAGCCUAAUAUAGAGGACUAUUCCAAGCCGUGUUUCAUUUCUGCAGCCGUUUGUAUUGUGGACUAUCUUCCUGGACUUCCCUUCUGGGUGGCCAGAUUGCUGACACAUGGAUGUAGAUACCUGGUGGAAUUCCACCUUCCUCUUGUUCCAGCACCUUCUGGAGCAGGAGGUGGCCCUCAAUGACCUGGCGAGGAACGAGUCCUUGGGUAUGUACAACCUAUCCAAUGCGGAGUGGAAGCUCAUGUCCGAGAUGGUGUUGGCACUUGAGCACUUCCUGUUUGCCAUGAAGAGCUUGUGUGGUAACACCACUCCUCUGAGCCAGACCCUGCCCAUGGCUCUCCUGGAGAAGCUGAUGGAUGAACUCCGGACUUCUCUGACCAUGCCAGAUGGGUGUGCUCUGGCUGGAAGCCGGGGUUGUCAACAGGCUGUUUGAUAAGUUGGGUGACAGGGAGGAGUACGUCCUGGCUUGUCUCUAUGACCUGACCAUCAAGGGCAAUGUCAUUUGUGUCGAUGACUUGCCCAGGUGGAUGGACCUCCUGGUCAAUAGUUAGGGAAGAGGAGGUCACUAGGACCGGCAGAGACCAGGAAGGUGGUGAUGGUGUGCCCUCUGAGCGUGCGCGACCCACACCCAGCAGUGCGGGUGACCCUUCAGCUCCUGCCCCUUCUUCUUCCCAGUCUGGCAGCGUGGCAUCCCAGGCAGUGGCACCAACACAACAGGCAGUUCCUCCCACUAAAUCAGCCCAGUGGCUUAAGCAGGUGUGCCUGGGUGCCUUUCCCAGUUUGCGGGAGGCUCAGCCUGCCAGGCCCACCAGUGCUGUGCAGUGCAUUGCCCAGUACUUGGAGGAGCCUGUGGAGGAAGACCCCGAGAUGGACUGCUCACAGUUCUGGGCAACCCAUUUCCAAGUCUGGCCGGACCUGGAGGUGGUUGCUGCACGCCUCCUCUUUUGCCCGCCAACCAGCAUCCAGAGCAAGCAGGUGUUUUCACGUGCUGGCAACGUGGUAACUCCCACUUGCUCCCAGUUGGUCCCUGGCUUGGUCGAGCAGCUGGUUUUCCUCAAGGCCAACCUCUCCCUGCUUGGCUACCCUGAGCUGAAGGUUGAGCUGGGUGAGUGAUUGGCCCAUGGUUGACCCAUGGUGCUGGUAACCUGCUUCUACUCAUCCCUACCCUUUUUCCUUCCUCCUUCAGUUGUGCCAUGUCGCAGCGGGCCCGCUAGUGCUGUGACUUGGCAACUGGAUACACCCUGUCACUGGUGUAACCUGAUGCUGAACUAGCCCAUGGUUCCACCUGACCACAGCACCACAGGCCGUGGGCACACACACAGACACUAGGUGGUUUGUGCCAGUGUGGCACUGUGUAGAUUUGUAAAUAUGUUGAUGUGUGUUGUGUUGCUUGCUGUUGUACAUAGUUAACUUGCGGGGGGAGGGCAGCAGGACUGCCAAAAUGUAUACUUGUAAAUAUUUCAGAGUGUGUAAAUAUUGUUGGAAGUGAAGGACUCUGCGCUGCCUCAUGCCUCAAUGACAGAGGGGGACAGAUUAGUGAGUCAUAGGGCUAGAGGGGUCAAGACAUUGGUCAUUCCUCCUCUCUACUGCUCUGACACCGUCCCUUUGAUAUGUAGAUUGCUACUCUCAGGGACUUCCUUCCUGCAUGUCUCCCUUCCUCUCUUCUUCUUCUCCCUAUCACACAUGCUCACCUCUCUCUCUUCACCAUGUGUGCAGAGAUGCAGACAGCAUCUCUCUGCAUCCAGCUAGCUAGCUAGAUUAGAGAGUCUAUCUCUCCACUUUCCUAUCUAGAAUAGAAUUUUCCAAUAAAGACACCUUAUAUUGAUUUGAAACUAUGAAAUGGCUCCACGUUUCUUUUACUCUCAGCAAACAUGCAUGCCUGGGCAGACUCCACUGUUUUGCACCUCUGUGCACUUUGCUGGUAAUAGAAGGGUAUCUCAUACUAGAGAGAAUUCCCAACAAAUAUGUGCUUGUGAUAAAAGUGUGCAUAUGUUUGUGUGAGUGCAUGCGUGGAGGUUUCUUCUGUUGUGUGUGUGGGUGGUGGAUGUUGUUAGUAGUAGUAGUAGAGGUUUUUUUCUUUCCUUUCUGUAGAUACUUAGUGGUUUUGGUCUGGAUUGUGUAGAUAGAUAGUUGGUGGUAUAAAUAUUACUGUAUAGAUGGAUUUGUAUAUAUACUUGUGUAUAUAUGUAUUUGUUAAUUGUUUUUUUUAAAUGUGCCCCCCCUUUCCCCCUCACCAGUUUGGUUCUGCUGACACGUACACAAACACACACACCAGACACUCAUGUACCAGCCAUGAUGAGUAAGUGGUCUCCUGCCACACCAUGUCGUGUGUGGCCUCCACUGACCUGCCUCUGAUCCAGACUUUCCUAUCCCUUUAAUUUUUUCAGAGCCCUCUUCUCUUUCCCCUCUUCUAGCUAGCAGCACACACAUGCAAACACAAAAUGCAAACAUGCAUGCAUGCAUGCUGUUGAUGAUGACUAUAUGUGUUCUGGUGCCACCACGUGCCUGGGGCCCUGUGUGGUCUCCUGAAAAGGUGUGGUGGACCAGACACUCUGAGGUGUUUCUUUCCCCACAGGCAAAAUGCAUGCAUUGCACAUGAAGAGAAGAGCAGAAGAAGCAGGUGCGUGGUGUGUGUUACUUUAAGUUCUCCUUCAGUGUGUUGGUGUGUUUUUGCCUUGCCCCUCUUUCUUUGCAGUUUGCGUGCCGGGUUCAAUCAAUCAAUCAUCUUUAUUACGGUCAAAGACCAGCACAGGAUAUAGUACAGAUAUAAUGGGGGGGAAAUCAUUAAAAUUAUUAUAAACCAGAUAGAUACACUUAAAAUGCUGUGAAUCCAUAGCUAUAAUUAGCCUAUAAAAGUAUGAUUGAUUAUUAUGAUUAUGAUUAGUGAAAUACAACUCUAAAAACUGUGGGGUGGUUAAUAAAAUAAGAUAAAGCAGGGGUAAAAUUAUGCUUAUGAAGAUACAACCCUAGUAGAGAUAAAACAAGGGUACAACUAUCUUUAAAAGCAGGGCAUCUAAAAAUGUAAAAUAGUUAAGAUAACAUAUAAAAGCUAACAUGUGAAGUAGAAGAGCAAAACAAAAUUAUACAAUCAGGUAAAAUGACCAGUAGUUAAAAAUCUGCUGCAAGGGGUAUUGACUGGCGAUCAGGACCCGGAGGAUCUUGCACGCUGCCCCACAGAAACUGGCAGCAUUGUACGUAAAGGUUCGAUUGUCAUCUGAGAGCAGCAUCUUGGUGUAAGCUUGUCUAGCGUGACCAGGGUAUUUGAGAAGCAGGGGAGAUAUGAGCUUGUCACAGCUGUCUUUAUAAAAGGGACAUGAGAGGCGCACAUGCUCUAUGGUUUCCACCUCCCCAGAGUCACAAAGACAAAGCCUUUCCAUAAGUGGGAUCUUCCUGUACUGCCUUCCAGAAUGGUGGAGGGAAGGGCAUGGCACUGGGCAAGGGUGACUGCCCUUCUAUGGCUUGGUGUUUCCAAUUGUGUCAAAUAUGCAGAGGGGGAGAUGAUGAAUCUAUGACUAUCCGGGGCCAGAAAGCCUGGCACCUUACUUAAAUCUGGCUGGUGUUCAGUGUCCAGAAUCCUCUGUUUGAUGGCUGUUUUUACCUUGUCCCAGCCCAUAGCAAGCAGAAGUGACGGGGACAAGCCCAGAUGUGCCACUUUGUUGUAGACUACCCAUUUCCAAGAGGAUUGAAAGUUGUUCUGCAGGGUUAGUUGGGCCAGGCCCCAUGGACAAAGGGCUAGUUUGAGCCAGUGGUUGAGAACUGUCAUCCAAACUUUAGCCUCCACUUUUAUCAUGCCAGUUUCCAGCUGUAGAGUGGCACUGGAGACACAGCAGGCACUUGUAAAGUCCCUCUCAAGAACGCAGAUUGAACCCGUUCCAAUAUAGUAAGAUUGGAUGGAGAUCGUGGGUGGGCACCAUAUAAUAAUUGUACCAAUGGCUUGUCUUCAUAUAGUUUGAGUGCUGCAGGCACGUAAUGGCUGCCUCUAGAACGAAGGAACCUCAAGAUGGCAGUGGAGCUCCUCUGUGCUGCUAGGGCAAUGUGAUCACAAUGGGGCCUUCUUGAGCCAGAGGCAUGGAGGACCACCCCCAGGUUUCAGCAGCUACCUGCCAUGUUUUUCCAGAGAGAGCUGCAGGUGCCAGGGCCACAAUCAGGGAAUAUGCUGCUCAGGCUGGAUGUUAAGCAAAACAGGAAAGCAGAAGAGAAAUUAAGGUAUGUGGAAACAAAGGGAGUGUUCACAAGAACAGCUUGUUCAGAAUGUCGUACUGGAAGUAGCACCUAAUGCUAUACCAAAAUAAGAGAAAGGGUGAUUACCAUUUAUGUAGAGGAGGAACAAAAAUAAACGAAGAAUCAAGUUGGAAUGAAGAAUGUGAAGGGUAUCGGCAUCUGCAGCCAGGUCCCCAUCCUGGAAAGGAAAGUCAUUAUUGUCUUCUGAAGUAAAGCCUAUUCAAGCUUGGGUGAUCAAGAGGAGAUCAAAAGAGAACAGCAGGAAUUAAGAGAACAGGAAGCAGAGCCCAGGCAAGACAGCAAACAAGGCAGACACCUGAACAAAGCUGGUGGCAGAUUAACUUUCAUGACACUUAAUCUUGCUCUUUGGGAAAAACUGAAAUUAUUGCAUCACCACUGCCUAGCUGAGCUGACCAAAGUUCACCAGUUCCAACAGCAGUCAGCCAGAUUGUAUAACUUACAACGGAUAUGUAGCAGAAACAAAGGUUUCAAGGAAAGAAAUGAAUCCUAAAGAGGAGCCCUUUAGGUGCUGCUGUCUCUUUUCAGUUGAUGCUGAUUGGGUAAAUGAAUGUUGGCCUCUGACAAUAUUAUGAAGAUGGCAAUGUUGGUCUACCUUAUGAGAUAAUGAGGCUAUUCUCACGAGCAGCCUAACCCAUGCUAGGGCAACCCAGCCUGGGUUAGGCUGCUCAUAUGGAGUGCCAGGAUCCCUCUUGAGUCUCGAUCCCAGCACUUCCGCUCGGCCUAACCCGGCUUUUUACCCAGCAUUAAAGGUGCAAGUGCGCCCUUAACCCUGGCGCUGGGGUUGUAUGUGUGCACAGGCUGCAGGUGGCCUACGCACAGACAAAGCCAGGCUGCAAGGACCCCUCAAUGCACUGUGCUCUUGGCACAGUGCGUUGAGGGAUGCUGGAGGAUUUCCUCCUCUGGUUCCCUUUUCUGCUGCUCACUGCGGAGUGGCUCAUGUGCCACACAAGCGACAGAGCCGGUAAAAGAAAAUCUAGCGUUUGUGGGGAGGCAGGCAGUAGCCUGUCUCCUCACCAGCUCUCCAACCUGUCAACAUUUUUGGUCAUGUGCACAACCUUAAUGUCUGUAAUGCAUAGUCCAACAUCAGCAGGAAGGCCCAAUUUAUGCAGCCCCAUAUUUAUUAAGGUAUCCUCAUGAGGUGGGCAGGGGAUCUUCUCAUUACAGUCCCUCACCUUAAAACAGAUACCAGUCAUAAAUAUUAUAAACACCUCUCAUUUAACUUUUUUUUUAAAAAAUGUAGUGGACAAAGAAGUCCAGUUUCCAAGAAGGUCAUUCAAAUCCUUUUGAAUAGAUUUGAUUCUAAACUCUUGUUGUGACUUGGACGUUCAAAUAAGAGGAAAGUAGACUCCA